rnacentral:rRNA from 1 species
CGUAGAGUGCGAGCGUUAAUCGGAAUUACUGGGCGUAAAGCGUGCGCAGGCGGUUUUGUAAGACAGAUGUGAAAUCCCCCGGGCUCAACCUGGGACCUGCAUUUGUGACUGCAAGGCUAGAGUACGGUAGAGGGGGAUGGAAUUCCGCGUGUAGCAGUGAAAUGCGUAGAUAUGCGGAGGAACACCGAUGGCGAAGGCAAUCCCCUGGACCUGUACUGACGCUCAUGCACGAAAGCGUGGGGAGCAAACAGGAUUAGAUACCCUGGUAGUCCACGCCCUAAACGAUGUCAACUGGUUGUUGGGUCUUUACUGACUCAGUAACGAAGCUAACGCGUGAAGUUGACCGCCUGGGGAGUACGGCCGCAAGGUUG